rnacentral:rRNA from 1 species
CCUACGGGGUGCAGCAGUGGGGAAUAUUGCACAAUGGGCGCAAGCCUGAUGCAGCCAUGCCGCGUGUAUGAAGAAGGCCUUAGGGUUGUAAAGUACUUUCAGUUGGGAGGAAGGCGUUGAUGCUAAUAUCAUCAACGAUUGACGUUACCAACAGAAGAAGCACCAGCUAACUCCGUGCCAGCAGCCGCGGUAAUACGGAGGGUGCAAGCGUUAAUCAGAAUUACUGGGCGUAAAGCGCACGCAGGCCGUUGAUUAAGUUAGAUGUGAGAUCCCCGGGCUUAACCUGGGAGUGGCAUCUAAGACUGGUCGGCUAGAGUCUUGUAGAGGGGGGUAGAAUUCCAUGUGUAGCGGUGAAAUGCGUAGAGAUGUGGAGGAAUACCGGUGGCGAAGGCGGCCCCCUGGACAAAGACUGACGCUCAGGUGCGAAAGCGUGGGGAGCAAACAGGAUUAGAUACCCCUGUAGUC